rnacentral:rRNA from 1 species
AGAGGGUGCGAGCGUUAAUCGGAUUUACUGGGCGUAAAGGGUACGUAGGUGGUUUCAUACGUUGUCUGUGAAAUACCCGGGCUUAACCUGGGGGAGUCAUGCGAUACGGUGAGACUAGAGUGAGGGAGAGGGUAGAGGAAUUUCCGGUGUAGCGGUGAAAUGCGUAGAUAUCGGAAGGAACACCCGUGGCGAAGGCGUCUACCUGGCCUAUGACUGACACUGAGGUACGAAAGCGUGGGUAGCGAACAGGAUUAGAUACCCUGGGUAGUCCACGCUGUAAACGAUGAAAACCUAGCUGUUGGUGGCAUCAGUCAUCAGUAGCGGAGCUAACGCGAUAAGUUUUCCGCCUGGGGGAGUACGGCCGCGAGGUUA